CACAGCACCAGCCUGACAAAGCUCAAGAAGCAUUUGGACAAUGCUCUCAGGCACAUGGUGUGAUUCUCCGGGGUGUCCUGUGCAGGAAUAAGAGUUGGACUCGAUGAUCCUGAUGGGUCCCUUCCAAGUCAGCAUACUCUGAGGUUCUGUGACCGGGACAUGGCUUGGGCCCAGGCCUGGCGGGGGCUGCAGGACCCCCUUCCGCCGGCCCCGCUGCCCGGGGGAGGGAAAGAGGGGGCGGCCGGCGCCGUGCCCGGGUGAGCGCCCCGCGCGCAUGCGCCGCGAGCGCGGCGCCCCCGCUCGGCUCCGCUCGGGCCGCACUCGGCUAUUUCCGCCUCUUUGUUUUAAACUCCGGGCCGAGCCCUUUAAAUCCCCGUUUUUUCUUUUUAAAAUUUUCUCGGGAAGGGGAAGCGGGGCCGGUGUUUCCCUCCGCCUCGCGUUUCCGACUCCUCUGCUCUCUGCCCUGCGGUGGCACCCGGAGAAGGACGGGCCGGGGAGCGGAGGGUCGGCGGCGGUGCGGGGAGCCCCCGCUGUGGCCCCGAGCGGCGGCCGCGCCCCCCCCGUCAGCGUUUCACCAAAGAAUUAAGUUUGUGGAUGAAAAGCUUUGAAUUAAAACAAACAAAAAAAUUGAGAUGAGUCUUUAAGGAGCAUCCCAUAUAUGUGUCCUUCAUUUUAGAUUGGUUUUGUUUCUACAGAAUGGACAAUUAAGCAUAUGUUAGGUAUGUUGUAAUGAGUCUUUUUAGUACCAGAUAGUGUACUGUUUAAAAACUACUAUUGGUUAUUUUUGGGUAGGAUACUUGUGAAUUUUUGUGUUCAUUCUUUUAGGGGCAAAUCAGAUGAGAAUCUCAACUGUGAUACUCAUCAUGUAUCUCAAAAAGGUGCUCUGCAAUUCAUAAAAAUUCUUUGGUAACAAGGUGAAUAAAAACAGAAACGUUGUGCCCUUUCAGUAGCUUUACUAUUUCUUUUGAAGCUAUACUUGUAACAUUUUAUAAUGUGUUUAAGGGAAUACAGAAGCUGUGCAGAACCAAAGGUACUUAGUGAAAACACAUAGGAUGCAUUAGAAGAGGGUCAGGUGACUGUCUAGAGAUGUAUAGGUGUACUGUGACAGAAAACUCAGAAAUAAAACAAUUCAUAAACCACUUUUUGAGGAAAAUCUACUGGAUUUCUUUCUGCAGGCUGAUCUGGCUGUUUUGAUCUUGUUACUCUGCUGUCACCAUAGAAAAUCAAGACUGAACACUUGUAAAUGUUGUAAUAAAUUCGACUUAAGAGUUUGUAAUUAUCCUAGCCUAAUACUAAUGCCAGGAAUGGCAGAAAUUAAUUACUAUGGUAUGAAAGAUUUCUGCUACUAAAAGACUGUAAAGUACAGCUUUCAGUCACUGCAGCUGUCCUGCUCUUACAUCUCCUGUCUGCUUAUGUGAUUUAGAGGAGGUCAUCUCAAAGCUUUGUAUUUGAGAUACAGGUAAGUUUUCUCGUCAAGAACCAUUCUACACUUACUUUAAUAGCUUUCAUUUCUUUUUUCCCAUAUGGCCGUUUAAUCUAGGUGGCGUGGCCUUUUUAGCUUUUGUCAUGUAAUGAACUCCCAGGACUGAUAUAAUUCUAGAUUAAAUUCCUGAACUCUCUGGGCAACAUUGUGAGAAGAAGUUGAAGCAUUUCCAUUGAAACUCUUAAGUGGAGCUACUAAGCUCUAAGCUGCAAAGUGGAUGUAUACAUGGUGUUUUGAAAAGCAUGCAUGUUUAUAGCGUCUCACUUUACUACUACUGUCUUAAGUUACGAUACUAGUUUACAAGAAAGUGUAAGGACAUCUUGUAUUUUAUAAAAGAAACAUUUUCUCUACUUUUUUGCUUUGGAGCUAUUGUUGUUUGGCAUGUGUGUAGUAACUUAGUACUUACUAAGUGGAAGCUUGUUUUGAUAGUAGUGUUUGGAGAUGCCGUUGAUUUAAGACUCUCGGCAUUCCUGAGAGUUUAUUAAUCUGAACUCUGGUCUCUUUUUCUCAGUGCUACUAAAGAUGUUUAAUGAUGAUUGAAACUUCUCUAAUUUGCUAGGUUAGGUUUGCUCUCAUGUUUAAAGGAAAUAUGGAGGAAAACCUUCUCAGGGCAGUUUGACUGCAGUAGGUUAGAAGCCAGGCAGAAGCUGCCUACAUCUUUUAGCUUACACAAGACUUAUUUGGAAGCUCUGUCUUGAAGUAGUUUUGUAUUCCUUACACCUCCCUUUUUAAUAUACAAGCUUGUUAUAUUAGACUGGAAGUUCAGCUAGUAUAUGAAAGUCUUGUAUAUUGUACAAGAGAGAGGAAAAAAAAGCAGGUUAUUCUGUGUUAGAAGCAAUCUUCUCUAUUGUGGUAUGUAACACAGUUUCAUUGCUAACUGAAGAAACACUAUAAAUAGUGGUUUGUUUUAUAAUUGCUCUGAAGAGCCUAGAGAAAACUGCUUUUAUUGAAAUUCAUAGAAUCAUAGGAUGUUUGGUUUGGAAGGGACCUUAAAGAUCAUUUUGUUCCAACUUCCCUGCUGUGGACCCCCACUAGACCCAGUUGCUCAGAGCUCCAUCCAAACUGACCUUGAACACUUCUAGGGAUGGGGCAUCCACAGCUUCACUGGGCAACCUGUUCCAAUGCCUCACCACCCUUACAUCAAAGGACUUCAUUGUAAUAUCUAAUCUAAACCUCCUGUCUUUCACUUUGAAGCCAUUCCCUCUUGUCCUGUCAGUACAUGCUCUUGCAAAAAAAUCUCUUGUAGGCUCACUUCAGGUACUGGAAGGCUGCUGUUAGGUCACCCCAAAGCCUUCUCUUAGCCUUUCCUUGUAGGAGAGCUGCUCCAUCCCUCUAAACGUCUUGAUGGCCUGCUUCCAGACUCACUCCAACAAGUCCCUGUCCUUCCUGUGCUGGGACCCCAGAGCUGGAUGCAGUGUUCCAGGUGGGGUCUCACCAGAGCAGAGCAGAGGGGCAGAAUCCCCUCCCUCCCC
ensembl:lncRNA